rnacentral:lncRNA from 1 species
AAAUGAUCUAUAUUUUGGACAUCUGUGUAUGGUGGCACUAGUUUUUUGUACAUCAAGAUCGGAAUUAUGCCUUCCUCUUUGGAUGCCAGUGUCAUAGAAUAUGACACAUAGUAGUGACUCCACUUCAGUUCCCUGUAUGCCAGCUGCUGCAAUAGUUUGCUGUCACUAAGCCUCGACAUGCGUCCACCCCAGAGGAGUUAAGUGAGACCACAUCAAUGCAGGGGAACUGGCUGUCUUCCAGAACUGCACUGUGGGCCAUUCUAUCCUGUGCUCGAUUGCUGGUACUGACACCUGUAAACCAGAUGGGUUAGCCACUGUUAUACUACGAUGUAUAGGACAAGAGGAGGGAUGAUUGUGUCUCCUCCUCCAACCAUUGCAAAGACAUCUGCAAUUGUGCAUGGCUGAGCCCUUAGAC